rnacentral:lncRNA from 1 species
AGCGUUAUUGCCCAGUAGGGGGCGCUGCUGUGCUUGUGUUCUCCGGCAGGGUGCGCUAUUGGGGAGAUGUGCAGGUAGAAGGUAGAGGUCCUUAUCACAUUUGCUGUCUUUGCUGAUGUGUUGUAUGUCUUUAAAUAGCCAGUGCUCCAGGAUCCAGUCCCAUAUGGAGAAAAGAUCUAGAGACAGACUUCAGUAUGGAGAGAGGGCUCCUGCAGAAUGCCCUGAACAUCCUCUGCUUGGAAUGAUAAGGAGAAAUGGAUUUGCUGUGGGUAUGACUCAGUUGCUUUUCUGCUUUCUGUCUGAAAGGAAUGUCAGCAAGGAAUAAGCAGAGCAGAGGGAAGUUUCCAGGAGCUCCAGUUAAAAAAUUCAAGACACAUUCCUUCUCUGGCCUCCAUCCUCCGCUGCUGCCAUUGCCGCCGCCGCCGCCGCCGCCGCUGUUCUCUCGUUGCUCCUUGAUGGCCUGGUCACGAGAAAAAUCUGCAGGGCCUCUGGGACCUUCACAGCGUCUGCUUAGCAAUCACUCCUGAGCUUUCCAGUAAUUGACUGGCAACAGGAGGGAGAACAGAAACUGGGAAACUGGCAGUUUCUCCGAUUCCUCCUUCCCCUCCUGCCUCUCUCUGCGUUUAUCUCUGUCCACCUUCUCUGUGUUCGCCCCCUGGCCACCCCCUCCUCCUGCUCUAUUUGCCUUUCAAGUAAUAAUCCAUUUCUCUCCAGUUUCCUGAAUGUGAUAAUCUCUGUCAGACUCAAGAGACAAUCAAGUUAAUGAAAUUCCUGUCAAUAAAAAGAGGACAUUUAUUAAAUGGAAAUUAUGUUUAAAGAUGGCAGAGAACAUCACUUAAGGCUAAGGCUGAGAAGAAUUAAGAAAUUAUUCUGGGGAAUGUUUUGUUUGGGAGGAUUUGUAUGAAGCAGCAGGCAGAGACUCUGCUUGGUGGAGCAGGGGGAACUUUAGGCUGGAUACUGCUUAUGCUACAGGUCGGGGUAAGGGUGUGACCUUAGAAAGAUGACUUAAUCUCUCUCUACCUCCAUUUCUUCAUACACAAAGUGGGAAUAUUUAUAAUACCUUAUAAAGUUGCCAUAUAACUGGAAUGAUUUACAUUACAUACUCAACACAAUGGCCAGCAUACAGCAAGCAUAUUCAAAACGUUUGCUUGUGCCAUUGGCCUAAAACGAGGUCAGUGCAAAUAUAAUUAAUGUCAUUUCACAAAUUAUAAGAUUAAUGAGGCUCCUUUCAGAAAGGGAAACAAAAUGAGAAUUCAGUUCUUGUUUAGAUUAUACGUUCAAAAGAAAAAUGAGAGUAAUGUAGAAGCCACAGAUUAGAAUGUAAAUGCUUUAAUGAUUUCACUUAAUAGUUGAAAGGCUUGAAAUAAAAUAAAGUUGUUGUUGAUGAUGAUGAUGACAUCAAAUUUACUGAACUUAACAUACAACCCCCUCCCCACCUCCACCAGAAUGACUGAUCAUUCCAUUUUCCUAGGAACCUCCUGAAAGGCUCUAUAGAAACAUAAAAUGUGGCACAUAUUGGCUACUCCAGUCUGAUUUCCAACACCAAGUAGAAAUACUGCCUUUCAGAAAUGAUUUAGUUAUUCUGGGAGUAGCUGAAAGACAGCAAAGGUGAUAGGAAUCUUUCAGAGCAGGCUGAGUCUUGCUCCUGAUGUGUCUCCUGGGCCCAUUACAGCGGUUGUACACAAGCCUGUUAUAUGGAGAUUCAGCACUCAGAAGGUGGCAUACGAAUGACCAUCAAAAUACUAGGUGAACAUGAACACAGGAGAGCAGUGUGCUUAGCAGAAUGUGCACACACACACACACACAAUAAUAAUUGAACACACACUGUGUCAGCAGUGUGCUUAGCAGAAUGUGCACACACACACACACACACACAAUAAUAAUUGAACACACACUGUGUAUAGUUGUAGCUAAAACUUAUCUCAUUUUAUCUUCACAACAAUCAGGAUAAUUACUUAUCCCAAGUGUAUAGAAAAGGAAACUGAGAUGUAUACAUGCUAAAUAGAUUCUCAUGCAACUCAUAAAUAUUUGAGCCAACAUUCAAACUCAAACUAUCUCCAACAUGGGUGUGCUUUAUGAGUGAUUAUAAAAUGAAAGGAAGAUGGGUGAAAUUUAAAUGAAGUAUUGUUGAAGUUAUCUGGAAAC